rnacentral:misc_RNA from 1 species
AACGCACCUUGCGCCCCUUGGUAUUCCGAGGGGCAUGCCUGUUUGAGUGUCAUUAAAAUAUCAAUCUCUUUAGAUUGGAUAUGGGGGGUUUCUGCUGGUUUGAAUACAAAUCUGCUCCCCUUAAAUGUAUUAGCUAGUGCGAAUUUGGUGUGAUAAUUAUCUACGCCAUUAAAUGCGCUGCUUUCUAAUCCCUUUAAAUUUUAUGACAUUUGACCUCAAAUCAGGUAGGACUACCCGCUGAACUUAA